rnacentral:rRNA from 1 species
UACGUAGGGGGCAAGCGUUGUCCGGAAUUAUUGGGCGUAAAGAGCGUGUAGGCGGUCCGGUAAGUCAGCUGUGAAAGUCAAGGGCUCAACCCUUGAAUGCCGGUUGAUACUGUCGGGCUAGAGUCCGGAAGAGGCGAGUGGAAUUCCCGGUGUAGCGGUGAAAUGCGCAGAUAUCGGGAGGAACACCAAUGGCGAAGGCAGCUCGCUGGGACGGUACUGACGCUGAGACGCGAAAGCGUGGGGAUCAAACAGG